CCUGAGAAAUGGCUACCACAUCCAAGGAUGGCAGCAGGCGCGCAAAUUACCCACUCUCAGUACGAGGAGGUAGUGACGAAAAAUAACAAUGCGGGACUCAUCAGAGGCCUCGCAAUUGGAAUGAGCGCACUUUAAAUCGUUCGACGAGGAUCUAUUGGAGGGCAAGUCUGGUGCCAGCAGCCGCGGUAAUUCCAGCUCCAAUAGCGUAUAUUAAAGUUGUUGCAGUUAAAAAGCUCGUAGUUGGAUCUGGGGUUCGGGUCGGCGGUUUGCCGCUUCGGCGGCUACUGCCGUGCUCGACUCUUACUAGCCGGUGCGUCUUGCGGUGCUCUUCAUCGAGUGCCGUAGGAGCCUGGCAUGUUUACUUUGAAAAAAUUAGAGUGCUCAAAGCAGGCGAUUCCGCCUGAAUAGUGUUGCAUGGAAUAAUGGAAUAGGACCUCGGUUCUAUUUUGUUGGUUUUCGGAACUUGAGGUAAUGAUUAAGAGGGACGGUCGGGGGCAUUCGUAUUUCGGUGUUAGAGGUGAAAUUCUUGGAUCGCUGAAAGACGGACAAAUGCGAAAGCAUCUGCCAAGAACGUCUCCAUUAAUCAAGAACGAAAGUCAGAGGUUCGAAGACGAUCAGACACCGUCCUAGUUCUGACCAUAAACGAUGCCAACUAGCGAUCCGCAGUGGUUGCUAUAAACGGACUCUGCGAGCAGCUUCCGGGAAACCAAAGUGUUUGGGUUCCGGGGGAAGUAUGGUUGCAAAGCUGAAACUUAAAGGAAUUGACGGAAGGGCACCACCAGGAGUGGAGCCUGCGGCUUAAUUUGACCCAACACGGGGAAACUCACCCGGUCCGGACACUGUAAGGAUUGACAGAUCGAGAGCUCUUUCUUGAUUCGGUGGAUGGUGGUGCAUGGCCGUUCUUAGUUGGUGGAGUGAUUUGUCUGGUUAAUUCCGAUAACGAACGAGACUCUAGCCUGCUAACUAGUUGCGCCGUGUUCAUACGCGGCUGUAGACUUCUUAGAGGGACAGGUGGCGUUUAGCCACACGAAAUUGAGCAAUAACAGGUCUGUGAUGCCCUUAGAUGUCCGGGGCCGCACGCGCGCUACACUGAAGGAGUCAGCGUGUGCUAUCCGGGCUCGGAAGAGUUCGGUAACCCGUUGAAACUCCUUCGUGCUUGGGAUUGUGGCUUGUAAUUAUCGCGCAUGAACGAGGAAUUCCCAGUAAGUGCAAGUCAUCAGCCUGCGCUGACUACGUCCCUGCCCUUUGUACACACCGCCCGUCGCUACUACCGAUUGAAUGGUUUAGCAAGGUACUCGGAUUGGUCUCGAUCUUGUACGAAAGUGCGGGAUCUGGCCGAGAAGAAGGCCAAACUUGAUCAUUUAGAGGAAGUAAAAGUCGUAACAAGGUU
rnacentral:rRNA from 1 species